AAGGAAAAAAGGAAAGAAACGACAGAAAGAUAAAAGGAAAGAAUUUCCUGUAAAAUUGGCCUGAGAAUCUCCAAGUGCGUAGGGCUUCUAAAAGUCUUAGUUCAGCCCUGGAAGAAGGGUUGCAGAAGGUGCGAGAUUGGAGAGUGGCUUGGCAUGGUUUUGGCAUGGCGAGUCUCGUCGUGUAUCACUAUUCUUUAUGCUUCGGUCUGUUUGCCAAAGCUCACUGGUCGUGAUUCAUUCCGCACAUUCGAAUUGAAACUUUACAACUCCAUGGACACACGGGGUGAGGGUAGUGGAACGUGAGACUGAAAAAAGGAUUUUUGCAGUUGAGGUUAUGUUGAUUAUACAACUAGGAUCUAAUAGUUGCAAAUAGACCGCUCGAUGCCAGUGCAAUGACGCAGUAGUAAGAAAUAAUGACACGGUGAUGAGUCAGUGGGGCAAGACUUAAAAAAUAUUGAUACGUGGAUAUGUAACUAAACCAAUCGAGGCGAUCGGUUUCAAAUUCCAUUUUUGCAAUUACAGAAGACGUAUAGCUGCCUGGAAAGAUAUCAACCGAUAAAAAAAGUAUUUUAUUUCUCGUCGAAAUGAAAUUUUUAUUAAAACCCGAUGAAUUCGUCCUGUAUGAAACACGAUAUAUUCGACAUAUUGAAACGCGUGCCAAUUCGACAAAAAUUGAUUGACAAAUAUUUUAUUCGAAUUAUUAGAAAAUUGAAUUCGUCUAGAACGAACUUCACAUAGCAUAGGCAAUUCGCACGAUCGUGAAACAGAUUGCGAACCAUGGCGAGAUUAAAACAUCAUGAAACAGUUUACACGAAACCGGAAGUCGUCGAGUAUGACGUUAAUUUUAUUAACAUAUUAAAUCAACGACCAAAAGAGGAUUACGCAUUCUAAUAAGCAAUUAGUGUCAAUGCGCACGCGGAGAAAGAUUCAUGAUGUAUAAAAGAGUUUAUCUGUACGUCGAAGAAAGGAACCCACCAGAAGCUGAAAGCCAAGUAGCCUCUGCAGGCGUGCACCGUCGCCCCGUAAAUUAUUCCCGCCCGGCGUAAACAUUAAACAAGUAUCGUUUAUACGCGCCGUGACCAGCCGAGGAAAAGAAAGAAAGGAAGAAAGAAAGUUCCACUUUUACCGCGAGCUCCUUUUACUUCGGCUCUGCGAACAGCCUUCGAGUUGCUCAAGAUCGAAUCCUGUUGCGUCAAUGUUCCAUGAUUCAAUUUGAUUUCACGUUCAUCGUGAUCCGAUAUUUAAUAUCUUCGUAUCAUUAGAAAGUAUUUUUUAGCAGGAAAAACAGAAAAAAAGACCAGGCAAUAUCACUGGAAAAGAUAAAAGAAAA